rnacentral:circRNA from 1 species
GCCCCAAGCCAGUCGUGUCCCAGGAAGCUGGGACGUGGGCUGCCUCUCACCUGCUCUUGUGACCACACAGGCGAUGAGCUGGAGAUGAUCCGGCCCAGCGUCUACCGCAACGUGGCGCGUCAGCUGCACAUCUCCCUGCAGUCUGAGCCUGUGGUGACCGAUGCGUUCCUGGCCGUGGCUGGCCACAUCUUCUCUGCAGGUAUGCCCAGCCUGCCCGUCCCAUGGGACCUCAGGGAGGGAUCCAGGGUCUGUGGCUCAGGCUCACAGGGACCCCACGAGCUG